rnacentral:rRNA from 1 species
GAUCAUGCUCAGGAUGAACGCUGGCGGCGUGCCUAAUACAUGCAAGUAGAACGCUGAAGGAAGGAGCUUGCUCUUUCCGGAUGAGUUGCGAACGGGUGAGUAACGCGUAGGUAACCUGCCUGGUAGCGGGGGAUAACUAUUGGAAACGAUAGCUAAUACCGCAUAACAGUAGAUAUUGCAUGAUAUUUGCUUGAAAGGGGCAAUUGCUCCACUACCAGAUGGACCUGCGUUG